CGCUGGCGGCACGCCUAACACAUGCAAGCUCGAGCGCUCACUUCGGUGGGAGCGGCGGACGGGUUAGUAACGCGUGGGAACAUACCCUUUACUACGGAAUAGCCUUUGGAAACGAAGAGUAAUACCGUAUACGCCCUACGGGGGAAAGAUUUAUCGGUAAAGAAUUGGCCCGCGUUAGAUUAGAUAGUUGGUGGGGUAACGGCCUACCAAGUCUACGAUCUAUAGCUGGUUUGAGAGGAUGAUCAGCAACACUGGGACUGAGACACGGCCCAGACUCCUACGGGAGGCAGCAGUGGGGAAUCUUAGACAAUGGGGGAAACCCUGAUCUAGCGAUGCCGCGUGUGUGACGAAGGCCUUAGGGUCGUAAAGCACUUUCGCCAGAGAUGAUAAUGACAGUAUCUGGUAAAGAAGCCCCGGCUAACUCCGUGCCAGCAGCCGCGGUAAUACGGAGGGGGUUAGCGUUGUUCGGAAUUACUGGGCGUAAAGCGUACGUAGGCGGAUUAGUAAGUUAGAGGUGAAAUCCCAGGGCUCA
rnacentral:rRNA from 1 species